rnacentral:rRNA from 1 species
AGUGAACGCUGGCGGUAGGCCUAACACAUGCAAGUCGAACGGCAGCACAGUAAGAGCUUGCUCUUACGGGUGGCGAGUGGCGGACGGGUGAGGAAUACAUCGGAAUCUACUUUUUCGUGGGGGAUAACGUAGGGAAACUUACGCUAAUACCUCAUACGACCUACGGGUGAAAGCAGGAGAUCUUCGGACCUUGCGCGAUUGAAUGAGCCGAUGUCGGAUUAGCUAGUUGGCGGGGUAAAGGCCCACCAAGGCGACGAUCCGUAGCUGGUCUGAGAGGAUGAUCAGCCACACUGGAACUGAGACACGGUCCAGACUCCUACGGGAGGCAGCAGUGGGGAAUAUUGGACAAUGGGCGCAAGCCUGAUCCAGCAAUACCGCGUGGGUGAAGAAGGUCUUCGGGUUGUAAAGCCCUUUUGUUGGGAAAGAAAAGCAGCAGGUUAAUACCCCGCUGUUCUGACGGUACCCAAAGAAUAAGCACCGGCUAACUUCGUG